rnacentral:lncRNA from 1 species
UCCAAGCCAGUUAUCUGAAAGGUUAAAUCAUGACUAAUGUGAGCAGAAUUGUUGCGGAUAAGAACACUUGCAGUUCAAUAUCUUUAUUGCUAAAGUUGUUUGUAGAAAAGAAGUUUCUCUUAUCAUUUCAAUUAGCGACUGGCAUGCAAAUAAUGCUGAUAAUUCUAUCCCAAUGCAGGAGGCUGACACCGAUGCAAAUUUUGGAGAAAAUCAAAAUAAGCUGUGAUACACACAGGAUUAUGCAAAUGUGCCAACAUCAGUGAUUGUUGUGUCACUAGAAUUUGUAUUCUGUCUUGUGAUAGCAGAUAUCUAUCGAAAAGAACAGAUUCCAACUUUCAUGUUGGACAAAUCCUAGCUAUCAGUUAUCGUCAUGUUGCCGAUAUGGUAUCAUCAACUUUGAACCUUAAAGAGUCAAAGUUCAUUGUUGAAUGUCUUGGUUAUUGUAAUAUCUUUAAAUCACUCUGUAAAUUAAAAUAUGACAUUCUACACUUUGUUUAUACAGCAUGGCUUUGUGCUACUUCAACAUCCAAAAAUCUGUAUCUGAGUAUUUGAUUUUGACUAUUU